rnacentral:rRNA from 1 species
AUAACAGAAUUGAAACUUGUUUGGUCAAGUAAGGGAAACUCAAUCAAAUUCACAACUGUCUCAAUAGAAUCUUUUCCUUUUUUUUGUCUAAAUAUUCAGUUAAGACCAUUCCAAGGCUCCUUUUUAUGCAAUAUUCCCUCCGUAAGGAGAGAGAGAGGGAGAGAGAUUGGGGGAGAAACUCCGAUGCCAUGGCGGUGGUAG